rnacentral:rRNA from 1 species
UACGAAGGGGGCUAGCGUUGCUCGGAAUGACUGGGCGUAAAGGGCGCGUAGGCGGUGCAUUUGGUCAGGUGUGAAAUUCCUGGGCUUAACCUGGGGACUGCGCUUGAGACGGGUGUGCUGGAGGGCAGGAGAGGCUCGCGGAAUUCCCAGUGUAGAGGUGAAAUUCGUAGAUAUUGGGAAGAACACCGGUGGCGAAGGCGGCGAGCUGGCCUGUACCUGACGCUGAGGCGCGACAGCGUGGGGAGCAAACAGG